rnacentral:rRNA from 1 species
UGGGGAAUAUUGCACAAUGGGCGCAAGCCUGAUGCAGCCAUGCCGCGUGUAUGAAGAAGGCCUUCGGGUUGUAAAGUACUUUCAGCGGGGAGGAAGGCGAUAAGGUUAAUAACCUUGUCGAUUGACGUUACCCGCAGAAGAAGCACCGGCUAACUCCGUGCCAGCAGCCGCGGUAAUACGGAGGGUGCAAGCGUUAAUCGGAAUUACUGGGCGUAAAGCGCACGCAGGCGGUCUGGCAAGGCGGAUGUGAAAUCCCCGGGCUCAACCUGGGAACUGCAUUCGAAACUGGCAGGCUAGAGUCUUGUAGAGGGGGGUAGAAUUCCAGGUGUAGCGGUGAAAUGCGUAGAGAUCUGGAGGAAUACCGGUGGCGAAGGCGGCCCCCUGGACAAAGACUGACGCUCAGGUGCGAAAGCGUGGGGAGCAAACA